rnacentral:rRNA from 1 species
CCUACGGGAGGCAGCAGUGGGGAAUAUUGGACAAUGGGGGCAACCCUGAUCCAGCCAUGCCGCGUGAGUGAUGAAGGCCCUAGGGUUGUAAAGCUCUUUUGUGCGGGAAGAUAAUGACGGUACCGCAAGAAUAAGCCCCGGCUAACUUCGUGCCAGCAGCCGCGGUAAUACGAAGGGGGCUAGCGUUGCUCGGAAUCACUGGGCGUAAAGGGUGCGUAGGCGGGUUUUUAAGUCAGGGGUGAAAUCCUGGAGCUCAACUCCAGAACUGCCUUUGAUACUGAAGAUCUUGAGUCCGGGAGAGGUGAGUGGAACUGCGAGUGUAGAGGUGAAAUUCGUAGAUAUUCGCAAGAACACCAGUGGCGAAGGCGGCUCACUGGCCCGGUACUGACGCUGAGGCACGAAAGCGUGGGGAGCAAACAGGAUUAGAUACCCUGGUAGUC